UGGGGCGUGGCCGAGUGGUAAGGCACCGGGUUUUGGUCCCGACAUUCGAAGGUUCGAUCCCUUUCGUCCCA
rnacentral:tRNA from 1 species